rnacentral:rRNA from 1 species
UACGGAGGGUGCUAGCGUUGUUCGGAAUUACUGGGCGUAAAGGGCGCGUAGGCGGCCGUUUGCGUCGGAUGUGAAAGCCCGGGGCUCAACCUCGGAACGGCAUUCGAUACGGGACGGCUGGAGACCGGGAGAGGAGAGUGGAAUAGCCAGUGUAGAGGUGAAAUUCGUAGAUAUUGGCUGGAACACCGGUGGCGAAGGCGGCUUUCUGGACAGACACCGACGCUGAGGCACGAAAGCUGGGGAGCAAACAGG